GGCGGUCGGGUGAGUGACGCGUGGAUAACCUGCCGUAUACAGGGGGAUAACACUUAGAAAUAGGUGCUAAUACCGCAUAAGCGCACGGUUCCGCAUGGAACAGUGUGAAAAACUCCGGUGGUAUACGAUGGAUCCGCGUCUGAUUAGCCAGUUGGCGGGGUAACGGCCCACCAAAGCGACGAUCAGUAGCCGGCCUGAGAGGGUGAACGGCCACAUUGGGACUGAGACACGGCCCAAACUCCUACGGGAGGCAGCAGUGGGGAAUAUUGCACAAUGGGGGAAACCCUGAUGCAGCGACGCCGCGUGAGUGAAGAAGUAUUUCGGUACGUAAAGCUCUAUCAGCAGGGAAGAAAAUGACGGUACCUGACUAAGAAGCCCCGGCUAACUACGUGCCAGCAGCCGCGGUAAUACGUAGGGGGCAAGCGUUAUCCGGAUUUACUGGGUGUAAAGGGAGCGUAGACGGCAGCGCAAGUCUGGAGUGAAAUGCCGGGGCCCAACCCCGGAACUGCUUUGGAAACUGUGCAGCUCGAGUGCAGGAGAGGUAAGCGGAAUUCCUAGUGUAGCGGUGAAAUGCGUAGAUAUUAGGAGGAACACCAGUGGCGAAGGCGGCUUACUGGACUGUAACUGACGUUGAGGCUCGAAAGCGUGGGGAGCAAACAGGAUUAGAUACCCUGGUAGUCCACGCCGUANACGAUGAUUACUAGGUGUCGGGGGGCCAAGGCCCUCCGGUGCCGCCGCAAACGCAUUAANUAAUCCACCUGGGGAGUACGUUC
rnacentral:rRNA from 1 species